AGGACGAACGCUGGCGGCGUGCUUAACACAUGCAAGUCAAGGGGGCCCAGCAAUGGGCAACCGGCGAACGGGUGCGUAACACGUGAGCAACCUACCGAAAUGUGGGGGAUAGCCGGCCUAACGGCCGAGUAAUACCGCAUACGCUCUCGAUGAGGCAUUUCAUUGAGAGGAAACCUACGGGACAUUUCGAGGGGCUCGCGGCCUAUCAGCUAGUUGGGGAGGUAACGGCUCACCAAGGCAACGACGGGUAGCUGGU
rnacentral:rRNA from 1 species